AUUACCUACGGGAGGCAGCAGUCGGGAAUAUUGCGCAAUGGAGGGAACUCUGACGCAGUGACGCCGCGUAUAGGAAGAAGUUUUUCGGAAUGUAAACUAUUGUCGUUAGGGAAGAGAAAGGACGGUACCUAAGGAGGAAGCCCCGGCUAACUAUGUGCCAGCAGCCGCGGUAAUACGUAGGGGGCAAGCGUUAUCCGGAUUUACUGGGUGUAAAGGGAGCGUAGACGGUUGUAUAAGUCUGGAGUGAAAGCCCGGGGCCCAACCCCGGGACUGCUCUGGAAACUGUGUAAAUUGAGUACAGGAGG
rnacentral:rRNA from 1 species